rnacentral:ncRNA from 1 species
UACUUUUGCAACCGUCUAAACCGAGAGUCGGUGUGGCUACAUAAAAAUUAUUUAUACAAUAUUGGCAUG